GUGUUAGUUUUCAUUUAAAAUGCGGUGUCGGAUAUAACGUCUUGCACAGAUUUUUCUAAAAAGUGUCCUUUGUACGUCCAUGUCAUUUUACGCACUUUAAAAGUUAGUUAACGUCAGAACACUUAGAUUUUAGUGUGAAAGUUGUUCUGCAAUUCAAGCUUGCUUCCCCGGCAAUGAGAGCCCAGAUUUACAGGCGAUUGUCUAGUGCUCCCAAACGGUUGCUCUGAUAAUGAUGAUGAUGAUUUCGCAUUGCAUGGUAAUUUUGUCUUGAUCUUUUUGAGUUGCUGCAUAUUACUUAAAUCCCUUUCAGCGGGGUAGACGUGAAGACUUGAUGCAGUUCUUGAGAGCUUCUGUUCUGCCAUCUCUUCCUUUAAGCACAUUUUUGAAAGAACUUCUUUUUCUUUUGAAUUUCUCCAUUUCAUCCUCCUGUUUUGGAACCAUAUUUUGACCUGU